UACAGAGGUCCCAAGCGUUGUUCGGAUUCACUGGGCGUAAAGGGUGCGUAGGCGGUCGGGUAAGUCUGAUGUGAAAUCUCACAGCUUAACUGUGAAACUGCAUUGGAUACUAUCCGGCUAGAGGAAUGGAGGGGAGACUGGAAUACUUGGUGUAGCAGUGAAAUGCGUAGAUAUCAAGUGGAACACCAGUGGCGAAGGCGGCUCACUGGACCGACACUGACGCUGAGGCGCGAAAGCGUGGGGAGCAAACAGG
rnacentral:rRNA from 1 species